UUAAUCGUGAAACCGCGAAUGGCUCAUUAUAACAGCUAUAAUUUACUUGAUCUUGACACAAUCCUACUUGGAUAACUGUGGUAAUUCUAGAGCUAAUACAUGCAUUAAAGCUCUGACCUCACGGGAAGAGUGCAUUUAUUAGAACAAAACCAAGCGGCUUCGGCUGUUUCUGGUUGACUCAUAGUAACUGAGCUGAUCGCAUGGUCUUGCACCGGCGACGUGUCUUUCAAGUAUCUGCCGUAUCAACUUUCGAUGGUAGUGUAUCUGACUACCAUGGUGAUCACGCGUAACGGAGAAUAAGGGUUCGGCUCCGGAGAGUUCGCCUGAGAAAUCGCGAACACAUCUAAGGAAGGCAGCAGGCGCGAAAAUUACCCACUCUCAGCACGAGGAGGUAGUGACGAAAAAUAACGAGACCGUUCUCUUAUGAGGCCGGUCAUCGGAAUGGGUACAAUUUAAA
rnacentral:rRNA from 1 species